UCUUCGAUACAUCGAUAUUUCCGACCAUUGCAUCGAUGACUUGAACGAAAGCACAUCGAUAUUAGUAGUUUUGGUCAGUCAAAAAAAAAACAUUGAACGGGAUGGACGCGUUUGUUGUUAUUUUUUAGUUCUUACAUUUCCGUCGUCGUUUGUUGUUUUCUUGUGUUGCCGAAGAUAUAAAUAAGUUUCUGCAAAUAAAUUACACGUUGCAAUGUGACUUAAAGGAUUACCAUAUCAGAAUUCUUCAAGAAGAUUUAUUUAUUUUUAUUGGUUGGUCAUGACGACCAUGGCAGAGGAUGGGCAUGGCACUGCUUCUAUGAGGUGUUAAUUGGACUCUUCCCGCUGCUCAAAGCACGCAAAGCAAAACACAAAAAAAAAAAAAAAAAAAAAAAAAAAAAAA
rnacentral:sRNA from 1 species